CAUUCUGAAUUUGAAAUCGGAGGGCACUGUGACUGACUCCAACCCACACCUGGCAACCUGCUGUGAGCUCCUGGAACUUAUACUGCGGAAGGGACUACAGCAGCCUGUUCUCAGUUUGGCACAUAGAGAUUACUGACAUUGUUUUGAACAGCUUCUUCGCCAUGACACAUGUGGCAGGUUGAGUUCAGUUUCUUUGGCCGUGCAGCAGACCACAGC